UCUCCUCCACUCUUCCUGCCAGAGUUGUGGCAGGAGGAGUCCAGACCUGAGCAUGAUGAAGCCAUCUAGCCCUUAACCAUGGGCAAUUUAAGGGGUUGCAGACCUGAGGAGUUGAACCAUCUAUCUCCAAGUCAUGGGAAUUCGAUUUUGUAAGGAUGGUCACAUUUGUGAAAUCGUAGUCAUAGAUGUUGAUGAAACCACACUGUGGAAAGAGUUGAAGGAAGAGCCAAAGAAACCUCCACCGAAACCAAAGGCGCCCCCUGACAAAGUAAAGGCAGCAAUAAAG